UUAUAUAUUAUAUUAUUUUAUUUUUUUUAUUAAAGUAUUAUUUUAUUUAUUAUAUUAAUAGAAAAAUUAAUUUUUAUUAUAGUUUAUUAGUAAAGUGAUUGGAAUUUUUUAAAUUUUAAAAAGGAGAAUUAAUUUUUUGUACCUUGUGCAUCAGGGUUGAUAAAUAGAAUAUUUUUUAUAAAGUUUUCUUGAAUUGAUAAGAUCUAAUUAAUUAUUUAUUUAAUUUUUUCAUAAAUUUUUAUAAUUUUUAAUUUGAAAUGAAAUGUUAUUCGUUUUUUAAUAUAUCUAGUUUUUUAAGAAAAGAAUUUAAUUCUCUUAUUAUUUUUUAUUUGUUUAUUUUUAAUUAAUAAUUUUUAAUAUGAAAUAUUUAAAGGGAUGAGCUUUUAAUUAUAUUAUUAAAAAUUUUUAUUUAAUUUAUUUUUGUAUAAUUUAUAUUUUUAAUCAUAUGAAUAAUUUAAUAGUUAAUUUAUUUUUAUUUAAAUUUAUAUUAAUUUUAAUUUUUAUAUUAAAAAAUUUUGUUUAAUAAUUUUUCUUAAGGUAUAAUGAUUAAAUUAGUAGAUAAAUUUGUAAAUAUUUUUUUAAAUUUAGGUAAUAAGAAGGAAUUCGGCAAAUAUAUUUUUCGCCUGUUUAUUAAAAACAUGUUUUUUUGAUAAUAAUUUAAGAUUUAAUCUGCUCAAUGAUAUUUAAAUUGCCGCAGUAUUUUAACUGUGCAAAGGUAGCAUAAUAAUUAGUUUCUUUAUUGGGGGCUGGAAUGAAUGAUUGGACGAGAAAAUUUCUGUCUCUUUAUUAGUUUUAUUUAAUUUUACUUUUGAGUUAAAAGGCUCAAUUUUUUUUAAAAGACGAGAAGACCCUAUAGAGUUUAAUUUAUUAAAACUUAUUUUUUAUUGGUAUUUUUUAAUUUAUUUUUUAAUAAAUUUAGUUGGGGUGACUAAAAGAUUUAUAAAACUCUUUUAAUAUUAAUCAAUUAUGUUUGAAUAUUAAAUCUAUGUUUUUAAAUUUAAAAUAAAUUACCUUAGGGAUAACAGCGUAAUUUUUUUUUAAAGUUCAUAUUAAAAGGAAAGUUUGCGACCUCGAUGUUGGAUUAAAAUUUAUUUUUGGUGUAGAAGCUUGAAAAUUAAGUCUGUUCGACUUUUAAAAUUUUACAUGAUCUGAGUUUAAACCGGUGUGAGCCAGGUUGGUUUCUAUCUUUAAUUAGUUAAUAUAUUUUAGUACGAAAGGACCAAAUAUAUAAUAUACUAUUUUUAAUUGAAUAUUAUU
rnacentral:rRNA from 1 species